rnacentral:rRNA from 1 species
GAGUUUGAUCAUGGCUCAGAUUGAACGCUGGCGGCAUGCCUUACACAUGCAAGUCGAACGGUAACGGGCCUUCGGGUGCCGACGAGUGGCGAACGGGUGAGUAAUGUAUCGGAACGUACCUUUCAGUGGGGGAUAACGUAGCGAAAGUUACGCUAAUACCGCAUAUUCUGUGAGCAGGAAAGCAGGGGGAUCGCAAGACCUUGCGCUGAUUGAGCGGCCGAUAUCAGAUUAGCUAGUUGGUGAGGUAAAGGCUCACCAAGGCGACGAUCUGUAGCGGGUCUGAGAGGAUGAUCCGCCACACUGGAACUGAGACACGGUCCAGACUCCUACGGGAGGCAGCAGUGGGGAAUUUUUGGACAAUGGGGGCAACCCUGAUCCAGCCAUGCCGCGUGAGUGAAGAAGGCCUUCGGGUUGUAAAGCUCUUUCGGCCGGGAAGAAAUCGUAUGGGCUAAUACCCUGUGCGGAUGACGGUACCGGCAUAAGAAGCACCGGCUAACUACGUG